GGAUGUGAGGGCGAUCUGGCUGCGACAUCUGUCACCCCAUUGAUCGCCAGGGUUGAUUCGGCUGAUCUGGCUGGCUAGGCGGGUGUCCCCUUCCUCCCUCACCGCUCCAUGUGCGUCCCUCCCGAAGCUGCGCUCGUUCGAAGUGGACGGCCUUCCCCGAAUAGAGACGGAACGGUCUUCCGGUCGAGGGUAUUCGAAUAGCUGCGCUCCCCUGCUAGAACCUCCAAACAAGCUCUCAAGAGUAGAGAAUGUUCCAUCCUCCAAAGGGAGGCUGAACAACAUACUCUAUCUUCCACCUAAGAAAGAUGGGUUUG
ensembl:misc_RNA 7SK 7SK RNA